AAUACAAAGUAAAAGUAAUCAUAAUCAUACUUCAUUAGCCAAUUAUGUUCUGCAACAUACGAGGAAUUUGAUUUGCCGUACAGUCAUACUAAUAAAAAGCAACAGAACACACAAAAUACAUUUUAACAUAAACAUCCACCACAGU